rnacentral:rRNA from 1 species
AGUGAACGCUGGCGGUAGGCCUAACACAUGCAAGUCGAACGGCAGCACAGGAGAGCUUGCUCUCUGGGUGGCGAGUGGCGGACGGGUGAGGAAUACAUCGGAAUCUACUCUGUCGUGGGGGAUAACGUAGGGAAACUUACGCUAAUACCGCAUACGACCUACGGGUGAAAGCAGGGGACCUUCGGGCCUUGCGCGAUUGAAUGAGCCGAUGUCGGAUUAGCUAGUUGGCGGGGUAAAGGCCCACCAAGGCGGCGAUCCGUAGCUGGUCUGAGAAGAUGAUCAGCCACACUGGAACUGAGACACGGUCCAGACUCCUACGGGAGGCAGCAGUGGGGAAUAUUGGACAAUGGGCGCAAGCCUGAUCCAGCCAUACCGCGUGGGUGAAGAAGGCCUUCGGGUUGUAAAGCCCUUUUGUUGGGAAAGAAAUCCAGCUGGCUAAUACCCGGUUGGGAUGACGGUACCCAAAGAAUAAGCACCGGCUAACUUCGUGCCAGCAGCCGCAGUAA